rnacentral:rRNA from 1 species
UACGUAGGGUGCAAGCGUUAAUCGGAAUUACUGGGCGUAAAGCGUGAGCAGGCGGUUCGCUAAGACCGAUGUGAAAUCCCCGGGCUUAACCUGGGAACUGCAUUGGUGACUGGCGGGCUAGAGUAUGGCAGAGGGGGGUAGAAUUCCACGUGUAGCAGUGAAAUGCGUAGAGAUGUGGAGGAAUACCGAUGGCGAAGGCAGCCCCCUGGGCCAAUACUGACGCUCAUGCACGAAAGCGUGGGGAGCAAACAGG